rnacentral:lncRNA from 1 species
GGUGGUCAGUAAAAACUUCCCUUGAAUAUUGGUUCAACGUUCAGUAAUCAUUGUGAAAUAAAAUGUGUCUCUAUUUCUGCGGUUCUCUUUAAAGUGAUUUAUUUUCAGGGCAGUUCUUAGCAAAAUGAAACACAUUCUUUCAUCCAUGCAAGUACAGAACAAUGAAGUUCUAUGCACCUCCAGUACAGUUUGGGUCUUUAUUUUUCAGUUCUCAGAAGCCUGCAAAAUGUAUCGGGGCAAUGGAAUGGAGAACUUACCCUCCAUCCAAAACAAGGCUUGGAACUGGAGAUUUCCCUCACAGCGGUAGCUUGGUACCUGGCCAAACCCAGAGAAGUGAAAUUAGCACAUCUACCUGACAGAUUCCUUGCCUGGUACUUUCCCUGUAACAACCAGGAUUCAGAGGGUCUGCUGAUUUCUUCCUGUCAAACUAAGACUUCCUGUCAUCGCCUGGUUCACAGCGCUUGAAUCUUGAUUGGCUGCCUCUAUGGAUUCCAGCAUUUGUCCCAGUACGAUCUUAUAUGGAAAGAAGUGAUCAAAAAAAGCAUCCAGGAUAUGGUAAGCAGAAUGAGGCACAGAGUCUUGCUAAGAGAAUUUUACAAUCUGUUAUGCGUGAUUGAGUAUCGCAUUUAUUCCUAAACUACUUUCUGCCAUUAUUACUAGCUAUAAACUUUUUCCCAAAGUGCAUAUAUUUAAAAUUUAUUUACAUGUGUUUUCCUUAAACACUUAAGCCCUCUUACAUUUAAGUUCCUGAAGCAAUGCACUGACUUAAUAGAUAGAAAUACUCAUUCAUUACAAAGAAAUAUGUUUUAGAUUCUAAAAAAAUUCGUGGAAUUUCU